UUUUGAAUCUAUUACUUAUUCCUUACUUACACUUAUACUUAUCUAUCACAGCUUUUGAAGAAUAUUAAUUUUGUUCUGUUUUAGUGAAUUAAGCAAGAACUUUAUUUAAAUUGGAAUAAAAAUAUAUAUCUAAUAGAUGACAAUUGAUCAUUUGUGGUUUUUAAUAUUAAAUGAAGUUCUUCUAUGGAAAAGACAACAUUACUAACCAGACAACAAACAAAUAUUUGUUUUACAUUAUAAAUAAGUCUGUAUAAAUAUUGGCAACACUUCAGUAUGCUCUAAUAACAUAAAGUGUGUUUUGUUUUCUCAGAAAUGUUUGAAACAAUGGACAAUAUUAUUAGAAGUGUUCUUUCAAAAAUGUCUGAAAUUAGAUUAUUAAUGAUUGAUAGAAAAAAAACUCAUAAUGGGGAUGAAUUAAGUAUUCCAUUUUAUAGAAAAUCGUUUUGUUCUGAUGAAAUAUUACCUGACAGUUUAAAAAGGUUAAAAUCUACACCUGGUCCUCUAGUUAUCGAAAAUGGUAAAAUUAUGUCUUGUAAUGACAAAUGUUUAUCAGGCCAGUUUCCCUGUUACAUUUUAGUAUGGUCAUCAGAUAUUAAGAAAGGUUGGAUCAGCAGAGGUCUAGGGUUCUAUUACAGGUCUAAAACUGUAAUAACAGCCAAACAUGUCAUAGAAGGUUACGAAAAUUACGAUAUAUAUGUCCUUUUUUCAACUCAUGAAUAUUGCUUAAUAUAUAACGUCCAGGAAAUCGUCCCAGAACCUAACCGUGAUAUUGCUUUAAUUAAAUUAUGUGGAUGUUUAGAUCCAUUACAAAACAUGAAACUAGAAAUAGGCCAGUUAGGUGAAAAUAUGGAGCUAUAUUUUUAUGUAUUAGAGUCAGGGCAUUUUAGAAGAAAAGACUGUAAAAUCAAAAUCCCCAAUACAAAUAUGAAAAUGCAAAUGAAUUUAGCUAAUGAAUUUGUUAUAUCUGAAGCAGGCAGAAAUGGAGACAGUGGAACACCUAUUUUUUCAAGCUCCGGCAUUUGUGUUGGAUUAUAUAUUGCUGAUUUCACUGCAAUAAACUCAUUAAACCCAGUUAAAUAUGGCAGAGCUUUACACUUAACACCUCUCUGAUUUUACUGUAAACAUAUAAAUAUUUACCAUAAUGGAUUUUUUUUUAACAUUUUUUUAAUGAAAAAAAAAAAAAAAACACUGAAAAACAAAAUAACAAAUUUUUAUUUAUAUAUAUAAAAAAGGGAAAAUAUAUAAAUGUUAAAAGUGUUUCUCAAUCUUGCUCCUUGGACCUAAAACUAAAACCACAAAAAAUAAAAAAAAAAAAAAAAUAAAUAAAAGUUUUACCUUCAUCUUACAAUCUUAUAAUCCUAUAUAAUUAAUCUUAUUUUGUUUGAACUAGUUGAACUAAAUAAACUAACAUGAAUAGAUAAAAAUUACUGAUUAACUACUGUAAAUGGAAUCUAUAAUUUUAAAAAACGAAUAAAAGUUACAAAACUUUAACUGAUGUGACAACAUAAAGAUAAAAUCUAAUUCAAAAUAUUAACAAUGGGGAACCAAAAUCGCAUCAAUGCAAAAACAUGCUUUUGGAACCUUUAUUUUUAAGAGCAUAUAAAUGAUACUAAAAUAACACAGGUUUUGGACAGCGAAGAGAUCUAGAAUGUAAACUGUUUGGGCGAGGGAGUGGAGGUGGCAGGGUUGGGUGGGCAAAACCACAGGACAGGGCAGACAGGGACAUGAUUGAGAAACACUUUGAAAACAUUUACAAACAUAAUUGGCAUUUUUGCACUUCUAAUAAUAUUGUCCAUUGUUUGGCAAAUACCCGAAGAGAGAUCUUGUGUCUUGCCCACAACAAUACCUUGUAUGCUGGUCUGGAGCAUGUGGAAUCUACAUUAAGGUGGUGCAGGAACAAUAAUUGCUUUGAAUGACCUCCAGGCCACAUACGUCACUUUUGGGUCAAGUUACACUCAGACGAUCUCUCUUUGUAAAUUACAUCUGAUCUAAAAAAAAAAAAAAACAAUGUCAGCAAAUAUCAAUUCAAAGGAACAACUUGAUUUACAAACAAAGCCAGAAGCCAGGAGAGCAACUGUGCCUUGACCAACACAACAGAACAUGACACCCCCUCUGCACAUCACACUAUCUGUCAGUCUCAUGUUGAAAAAUACAACCACCUACAACCAUUUGACCAUCUCUCCUUGAAUAAUAUACAAAUAAAUAUGUAACAAUGUUUUUGUUCCUUUGAAUAAAUUGUGAGCAUUGCAAUGGGUUUGUUU